CUUGGUCAUUUAGAGGAAGUAAAAGUCGUAACAAGGUUUCCGUAGGUGAACCUGCGGAAGGAUCAUUAGUGAAUAAAUAGGGUGUCCAAUUUAACUUGGAACCCGACCUUCUCACAUCUAACCCUGUGCAUCUGUAUUUAAUGGCGAGCAAUUUUCGAAUUGUGAGCCAUUUCACUUUAUAAACACUAGUCUAUGAAUGUAAUUUUUAUAACAAAUAAAAACUUUCAACAACGGAUCUCUUGGCUCUCGCAUCGAUGAAGAACGCAGCGAAAUGCGAUACGUAAUGUGAAUUGCAGAAUUCAGUGAAUCAUCGAAUCUUUGAACGCAUCUUGCGCUCUCUGGUAUUCCGGAGAGCAUGUCUGUUUGAGUGUCAUGAAUUCUUCAACCCAACUGUUUCUUGUAAACAGCUGGUGUUUGGAUUCUGAGCGCUGCUGGCUUCGUGCCUAGCUCGUUCGUAAUACAUCAGCAUCCCUAAUACAAGUUUGGAUUGACUUGGCGUAAUAGACUAUUCGCUAAGGAUUCAAUGUUCUGCAUUGAGCCAACUUAAUUAAGGAAGCUUCUAAUUGAAAAGUCUACCUUUAGAUUAGAUCUCAAAUCAGGCAGGAUUACCCGCUGAACUUAAGCAUAUCAAUAAGCGGAGGA
rnacentral:rRNA from 1 species